UACCGAUGAAGUGGAUAUACACGCAACACGCCUCUUCGCCUGUCGAGCUCUGUGUUAAAUGAACUCACAUCGUACAGCUCUUCACAAACCCGGGAGAGUCUACUCGUUUACCAGCUUGCAUACACGGUUUUGUGGCUCGGGUUACGUUUCCUCACCGAUAAACGGCCUUUACUGUGUGAUAACGUCCUCCUCAAAUGUGCCAACCAGAAGUGUAAUACCCUUUAUAAUUCGAGGGCUUGCUUCCGUUAAGUACUCCUGUAUAAAGUUUCGGGCAGUUGAUGGGUACCUGGAAAUACGAGUAAUAUAGAAGCAGCAAAACCUGGCGUUCAACUAACACCUUUUUAGUUCUCGUCCUCAAACUAGUAUCGAUGUAAACCUUUCAAUAUAAUGUAACGCUACGGCCGCAUGGGAUUAGAUCCGUUUUAACCUCGAGUGGUCUUGAGAGGCCCACGCCGCCGCUGGGACGCCGUCGCUGCCGCGAGUGAGCAGUAGCCUCCUCCUCUGUUCCAGUUACAUGAAGAACAGAACGAGGAGGACGAUUGCCGCGGUACGUUGAACGAAGAGCAGUUUGAGCGCUCGCCACCGCUCGCGGACGAGCUUCUCCUCCAGCGACUCGAGGAGCAGGAUGGCCGCUACGUGGAGGAGGAGGAGGGCGAGCACGCGUUACACGAGCCGCUCGCGGCGGAGCUUCCGCAGGUGCAACCCGGGUUACUCCAUCAGGAGGCCCGGCUACUACGGCGCCAGCGUGCCCGCGAGGAGGGGGCCAAGCUAGAACUACCGCGCCUCGAGCGGUCUGAGGGAGAGGGAGAAAUGGUCCUCGUUGAGGCACGGCCUUCUCGAGGGCACGGUCUACUCGAGGGGCGCGGCCUCGCGGCGUGUACGGCCUCCAGUGAGGAGGCUGAGCACCACCUCCUCCCUGUUGUCGUGGCCCUCUAGCAUGAACCACAUCGCGAACCCGCGCGCGAACGCACGGCGCAGCCUCCACUACGUUGCGAACGCGAGGAUCAGAAGCAGCAGUGCCGCGGCUGGUCUCGAGGUGUAGCAGCGUCUAGCCACCCGCCCCCGCCACCUAAAGAGUGGCCGCUGCUAUUUAACCUCUCCCCUUACCCUUUAGUGCCGCCGCUCCCCUAUCCCUGAUCCCAAAGAGAGGGACAGCUAAGUGUGGGCGUAAGCGCAGCGAGAGGAGUGAGGAGAGGAGAGAGGACGCCUGCCUAGAGCAGCGGGGCAGCGGAGCGUUCGUGCAGCGGCCGCGCGUAGGAGUGGCGCGUCUCCAACUUGAGAGGAGGAGGGUAGGGAGAAGGUAGACAGGGGGCGGGGAGAGCCUAGGGAGAGUAGAGAGACACGGGGAACGCGACGACGAAGACGGCUACGCCUACACUCGUCCGCCGAUCCGAUCCACGACGGCAAGGGAAGCACGCAAAACCAGCCUCGGCUCGAGGCCGGCGGCACCGGUACCCUCUACGAGGGGAGCGAGGACAUGUCCGCGCUCGUGGGUGUGCGUGGGUACGCGCUCGUGCACGCAAGUGGGGACGGGGCGUGCGUGUGCGUACGGGUGUCGGCGGUAGGUGUUCGAGACAGGGCUUAGAGGAAGAGGAGGAUACCUAGACACACUAAUCGUACGUAGAUACACUCGAUAACCCGAUC
rnacentral:rRNA from 1 species